CUGGAAGAAUCUGGAGACAGGUGCUGCAUGGCUGUCGUCAGCUCGUGUCGUGAGAUGUUGGGUUAAGUCCCGCAACGAGCGCAACCCUUGCCUUUAGUUGCCAGCAGGUUCGGCUGGGCACUCUAAAGGGACUGCCGGUGUUAAACCGGAGGAAGGUGGGGAUGACGUCAAGUCCUCAUGGCCUUUAUGACCAGGGCUACACACGUACUACAAUGGCCGAUACAAAGGGCAGCGACACUGCGAGGUGAAGCCAAUCCCGUAAAAUCGGUCUCAGUCCGGAUUGGAGUCUGCAACUCGACUCCAUGAAGUUGGAAUCGCUAGUAAUCGUGGAUCAGCAUGCCACGGUGAAUACGUUCCCGGGCCUU
rnacentral:rRNA from 1 species